rnacentral:lncRNA from 1 species
GCUGAGUUUGUGGCGCGCUUAGUGAUGGGAUGGCCCUGUGCAGGACGCCGACACGAAAAGAUGAAGAGUUCAAUCCGUGCUGUCUGAACUCACAGUGUAGCAGGCGAGAUAGACGGGAAGAUCGGUAGGGUGGGAGAUGCCGGAAAGGCUUCCCGUGAGACUGGAUAAGAAAUCAAAAAUCUGGUGAAAUUGCCGGCAAGAGGGAGUUAAGGACAUUCCAGGCAGAGGCAAGGACUAUCAUAUAGGAAAUGGAUGUGAGAAUGGAUUGGUUAAUAACAACAACAACAACAACAACAAGAGAGAAAGCCUUUUGAAGGCAUCUUGCCCCUUGAGAUAGGGUGGGGCUGGUGAGUUCUGUCAUCUUAACCUCCUGCUGAGUGAUUCUGCCAAAAUCACUGCCAUCAGAUUGAGCAAGAAAAUACUUACGGUUAGGAAUUUAAGGAGUUUCCUAGACGUGUUUGCUCUUGUGGGUUACAAGAAGCUACCUGAUCAGAGGCUACACAGUUUUAUGCUCAAGGGAAAGUCAGAUUCUAAAUAUUAAGCUACAUAUGAAAUUUGUUGAAAACCUGGCUACGCCAGAAGAAAAGUACAUAGCAGCAGUUUGGGCAAAGCAGGCACCUCUCACCCGAUGCGGACCUUCCCCAGCCCAAAUGAUCUCGUGCAAAAUCUAUUCUAAAAACAAAACUUCAGGCAUAUCCUUUAUGUUAAAAAAAAAUUGUUAAAAGAAGUUGUAACAAAGCACCCUGCAGACUUUGGGAGCUGUGGGAAGUGGGGAGGACUUUGAGUCUAGAGAGCUACUGCUAGCUUGGGACCCAAACUAGACCCAGGGUUGUGCACUGCAGUACGUAAAUGAGCCACCAGUCGUGUUUAUUCAAGAUGGCUCCCUCUCUUCUCUAUGGCUGCCUUUCUAGGGAACUGCCUUCAGCUCCCUGCAACAGAAGAACCCAAAAGGGUGGACCUGAAGGAGGAGGGCUGCAGGCAUUUGCCUCAGCGGAGAGGCUGCUCUGUGGAGGGGACGCAUAGUGGCUGAGCACUGUUCCAGCCGACCACCCUGUGCUUCUGCAUUGAGGAUGAGGAUGCCGAGGUCAUGGGAUUUAUCCAAGAGACUUAGUGAAUUCAGUAGUCUGGGCUACAGUGAUCGUCUAAUCAGUAAUAGGAGAGAAAUCAGUAAUAAUAAUAGAAUAAGAGGAGAAUUCCUCAUAUUCCCAAAGAUACACUGAACCCUCCUCCCGACCCCCACCCAAUAAAGCUCAGCCACAAACACAUCAGCUCCUAAUGUCUUACUGGUGAAUACACACCAUUCAAUUUUAUUGUUUCUGUACCAACUCAUCCACUUGACAAGCUCAGAGUUCUGUCAUGCAAUUCAUUCCUCCACAGGGAGGGAUCUUAGCACAGCAGCAAGGGAAGCCUUGUCCCUGGGAAGCUAUAGACCUCAUUGUUUCAGAAAGCAUUCCAGAUGGUUCUGCUGGAGCUGGCUUCCCUUUAUGAGAGCCCUUCCUGAGAAGGCAGAAAGUUGGCCCCAUAGAGAAGAAAAGGACCCCAGGACUGUGCAAGUCAGUCAUAUCCAGAGCAUCCCUCCCACCCUGGAACCAGCAGCCAAUAGUUUUACCUCAUAGGACUCCUCGUCACCAGCCACCAUGCCCACAGUCUUUAUGAAGGGGUGGCCAGGGUUGUCCACUCCAGUCUGGAUGCACUGGUCCAGCGUGUAGCCGUUGGGUGUCACCUUGUUGCGAAGCUUGGCAUAAAUGGCGGGGGUGAGGCACUCGGCCAUGCAGUUGUUGUGCUUGCGCAGGUCUGGGUAGUCUGCGCUGUGUGGGGAGGAGGGCAGGCUGUCAGCCAGCAGCCCCCGAGGAAAGGGGCCAAUGGAAGGACUUGUUGUUUGCCCAUCCUUCCACUAGGCUCCCUUCAGCCAGUGGGCACAGGGAUACUUGGCUAGAACUGCCUAGGAGUCAUAAAUGAAUACACCAGGUUUCAAAAAAUAAGCAAGCUCCACGAGAGCGGGGACUUUGCCUUUUUGAAAACAGUCCCUGGCUGUUGAAACCAGUGUUCAGUAAAUAUCUGUUGGAAUAAUAGAAAUCAAAUUGGGUGCUGUCUUACCCUGGAGUGUGUACUGAUUGAGGAAUAGGAGAUUUAGGACCACCACAGCCUCAAACACAAGUCAUGUCACCUCAGGAAUUCCCAAGGUACAUGGGGGUUGCUGGCGAUUCCCUCAGAGAUCCUGAUUUUCAUAAGAGACACUAAAUGUCUCAGAGACACCUCAGUGGUUUUCCUUGUCUCUCUCAUCCAUACCUGCCUAUGUGGAAUUCUGCAUGCCACUCAAACUCUGCUCAGCGCAUGGUAUCUCAUCCAUGGCAGGGUUCCAAGGGCUGAGAAAACACAUCUAUUUUCAUCCCUCUCGUGCCACUCCUCCACUUUCCAUCUGCAGUGUCCUUUAGAGCCGAUACUUAAAGUCAGUACUAUGAUAUCCCUUUUUCCAGAAGGUGGUAGAGCAGUGAGAGAGGCAUGGGUCUGGAAUCAGGGGGCCUGGAUUUGCAUUUCGCUGUACUAGCUAUGUGAACUUGGGCACUGUUUAAUUUUUCUAGGCUUUCAUUUCAUCACAGAAGGAUCCUAAGAUGAAAAACAGAUAUUCCAUGUAAAGUGCUGGUCACACAUAAAAGUGCUCCACAAAUGUUAACUAUCCCCAUUAUUACUAUGCAACUGGACUGCAAGCUCUAAGCAAGAAUGACGAUGCUACACUUCUUUGUAUACACGACAGGUCACUGGCUUAAUGAGUCUCAAAAUGAUUUUCGGUUUUACUUAGUCAUCCUCAAAGGCAAAAAGAAGGACCCUUGCUAACAGUUUCCAGCAGGGGAAAGCAUAUUUCUUGCUGGUCUUUGAAGAUUUUUUUUUGUUUUUGUUUUUGUUUUGUUUUGUUUUGAGACGGAGUCUUGCUCUGUUGCCAGGCUGGAGUGCAGUGGCGCGAUCUCGGCUCACAACAACCUCCGCCUCCCAGGUUCAAGCAAUUCUCCUGCCUCAGCCUCCCAAGUAGCUGGGACUACAGGCAUGUGCCACUAUGCCUAGCUAAUUUUUUUGUAUUUUUAGUAGAGAUGGGGUUUCACCAUGUUGGCCAGGAUGGUCUCGAUCUCUUGACCUCGUGAUCUGGCCUUCCAAAGUGCUGGGAUUACAUGCAUGAGCCACCGUGCCUGGCCUGAGGUUAUUUUAAAGUCAGGAGCCCUUACCUUGGAGGAAAUAGCCUAGGCUGCUCCCGGACCUCGGCACACACUUUCUGCCGGUUCAGCAGGUACCCGGUGGUCAGGACACUGGUGCCCAUGGUAGCAAACAGCAGAGAAGCAUUGCGGCCAGUUAGCAACUUAGAAAAGAUACUGGCCAUCCUUCCUCUUGGAUGAGUGUCUGGAAAGCAAAGAAGCUGGAUUAGAUAGCUUCAUAGGAUGACCCUGAGCCACAACAUAGGGGUCAAUGGGCAAGAGAACUGCAGGAGCCAUAGCCUCUCUUUCCGGUGUCUCUGUCUCUCUCUCUCUCUUUCUGUGUGUGUGUGUGUGUGUGUGUGUGUGUGUGUGUGUGUUUUCUAUUUCUUGCUUUGCUUUUUUCUUCAUAUUGCUUGGGAAAAUCUGGGUAGUUUUAGACAUAAUGUCUAAACUUUCUGAAUUCCAUGCCUUUUCUCUGUUAAUAUGCUAUGAUAAAAAAUAAACAGCAGCAGGGAUGUCUUCUUCCAGCUAUUUGACAGACCAUAUGCUCUAUUGAACUUUGCCACUGCAUCACAACUAGACCCUGAACAGGAUGGAUUUCUGGACUUCUGAAAGGUAGGAGAAAUUUCUGAGGACCACCCUCCCACUCUACUGAAGUUGGGAUGCCAGCAUUGGGAAUAGGGGCUGAGACUGGGAUUCCCCCAUUGAAGUAGGACCUUUGAAAGAGGCUGAAGUGGCACAAAGUCAGCAGACCCCAACUUCUGGCUCCUGCCUGAAGCAGGUCUAAAAGCUCUCUGAGGAAAUUAUAUUCAGUUUAGGCCCUGGAUUCCUACAGAUUAAGAUGAAACAAUGAACUCCCAAAGAUCACCAAACACACAAGGAGGUACAAUGAAUGAGAGUCAACAGAAGAAAUAGCAGAUGUAGACUGCUAACGACUGAAGAUGCUGGAACUGUCAGACAAUAAUAUAAAUAAGCCCUAUAUUGAAUGUUUAAAGAACUAAGUGUGGAAUCAUAGUUAUGAGCAAGCAACAAGAGACUAUUAAGAAUGACCAAGUUGAUUUGUAAGAACCAAAUUGAACCACUCAUUAUGACACAGCUGAACAUAGAAUAAAUGAACUGGAAGAUAUAGCUUAAGAAAUUACUCAGAAUGUAGCACAGAGAAAUGAGAAAAUGGAAAAUAGAUGUAAAUUAAGAGAUAUGAUGGAUAGAAUGUCAAGCUCAAAUACACAUCAAAUUGAAGUCCCAGAAAGAGAGAAUAAACAGAGAAGUCAGAUUUGAAGAGGAAUGGCUGAGACAUUUUUAAAACUGAUAAAAGAAUCCAUGAUUCAAGAGGUGUAACAUAAUCUAAGCAAACAAAGAAAUUGACACCUAGACAAAUAAUAAAACUGCAGAAUAACAGUGACAAAGACGUGAAGAGCAGUCAGAAAGAAAAGACAGUUUACCUACAAAGAAAUGACAAACGAGCUGAUUUUUUGAUAAUGAGCCCAGGUAGAUAAUAUUUUUAGAAGCAAUAACUGUCACCCUAGAACUGGGGAACUAGUCUAACCAUUUUUUCAAAAAUGAGAGUGAAAAACAUUGAUAAAAAACAGAUCAAUAACAAAGGAAUUACUAAGCUAUAUGCUUCAGAAAGAAAGGAAAUGACAGCAUAAGGAGAGAGCCUGAAAUGGAGAAAACAUGUAUAAAUCUAAAUAAGUAUUUAUAUAUUUAUUUGUAAUACAAGUACUGAACUACCAACAAACGAUGAAAAAGAGGAUAAACAUGCACAGACAGAAACCCUGUUGGGUCUGCUACUGCCUAGAGAUUUAGAAGGGCCAAUUAGCCCCACAGUAUCACCUAGCAGGGAGCUGUGUAAUGUGGCUCUUUGAGUAGAGAACAAAAGAGUACGUAGUUCUCAGUACUCUAUUUGAUCUCCAUAAUGCCCAAAUAAAGAGUGUAUGGGCCCGGGAUGGUGGCUCAUGCCUGUAAUCCCAGCACUGGGAGGCAAAGGUGGGCGGAUCACUUGAGGCCAGGAGUUUGAGACCAGCCUGGCCAACAUUGUUAGCUGUCUUUUAGUAGAGACAGCAAAACCCUGUCUCUACUAAAAUUACAAAAAAUUAAUUAGCUGGGUGUGGUGGCAUGCACCUGUAGUGUAGUCUCAGCUACUCAGGAGGCUAAGGCAUGAGAAUCACUUAAACCCAGGAGGUGGAGGUUGUAGUGAGCCAAGAUUAUACCACUGCAAUCCAACCUGGGUGACAGAACAAAACUGUCUCAAAAAAAAAAAAAAAAGAGCAUGGAUUUCCCUCAUAUUUGGAAGGCUCCCAAGACUCAGCUGCAAGAUGCUCCAAACUUAGCUGAAUUGAUUGCUUCAAAGAACUUGCUGAUGUGUAAGGCUGUAGCUGAAAACCUGGGCCAUCCAGUGAAGAAUAAACAUCAACUCCUAAUAGAACCGUCAUUUCGAAGUCUCUACUAAACCUGAAUGUCCCAACUAAAAGCAUCAAAGACCUUGAAAACAUUUGAGAAUGUUUAUGUGUGCAAGUAACAAAUCAAGCCUCUUCUGAGUAGGGGUUACAGGAUAUAGGUUACAGGAUAGCCCAGGAAAUCAGAUUAUUAGUUCUUCUUCCGUGCUAAUAUCUGCAAACAAUUCUUUCAAUUCUAAAGCCAGUAAGUUACUAAGAGCAGACAAGAUAUAAAUUGGUCAUUUCUUGAAGUUGUCCUGGGGACUUGUAAAGACCAACAUUCAUUCUCAUCAUGGAAACUUCUUUGCUCCCCUGCUAGAUUUCAGGUCAUCAUGUCAGUAUCCCUCCAAGAAUAGAUAACGGCUCUUCAGUGAGCUGCACCAGUGCUUCCUGGUCCUUGCUUGCAGCAGGCAACGCUAGCAUACAUCCUUUGGGCCAUCUUAUUUGCCAUCACACCCUCAAACCCACUUUCUAACUAGAGAGAGGCAAUGCUGUCACUCUAGAGGUUUACUGUAGAACUCACUAAAGUGAAAGAAGCUUUGCCCAGAUUCUUUCCAGGCAGUAUGGGCCUAAACAUAAGCCAGACAUGGUCUUCCUAAGCUAACAGGAAGUAUGUUCCUUUCUGGGAUUGACCAGGGAUGACCCAAAUGUCCUGGUCCCUAUUUUUCAUUCCUUAAAUUGCCUAUGCACUGAUAUGUGCCCAAGUCAGUGUCUGAGAUGAUAAAUCUUAGGAAGCAGAGCCAAGAGGAAGGGGAGUGAAUGGUCUCCAUGUAUAGUCCUGUGACCACUGGAGGUCUUCCUCCCUGUAAGGGUGAUGUGUGAGUGGGUAUCUGGCUCAGAAUAUUAAUGUUUGAAGUGUCAUAUCCAUAUUUUAGUUCCUGGAAGGAACUAAUUUAAUUAAUUUAUAAUUAUUAUUUUAUUCCAAGUUCCAAUACUGCCCUUGUGUCUGAGCAACAAAGGAUGACUCAUGCAGAUAAUCCUGGGGAAGCUUUGAUUGUGGCUAGCAAAGCAAUCUUGGAACUGAAAUUCCUCAGUAUCCUUGCUUUGAUUCCUUGAAGAGAAUUGACACAGACUCCAGGUUUUGGUGAAGCAAAGAAUUCCUGCUUCCUUGACUCUGUUUUUGUCUCGCCAGAACACAAAGAGGCAUUGAAUUUCACUAUUAAGGCCUUAAUUAGUAACCUUGUUUGUGAAAUUGAAACAAAGGUCUCACUGAACAGGCUGGUGCUCUGGCAAUGGCUGUUCCAUGCUCUCCAAAGACCCAGAAUCAAGGCUUGCAAUGAAAUCACUUUUCCUCAUGACUAAACUAAAUCUCUCUUGCAUGUUAAAAGUUAGUCUUUAAAACGCUGCGCAGUCAGAACAUUGCUUUGUCUUACACAUUUCCCUGUUACCUGGCAGGCCCCAAAUGUUACAUAAGCAUUCUCUGCAGCUGUAACCCCUACUCAGAAGAGGCUUGAUUUGUUAUUUGCACACAUGAUAACAUGUGGCAUAAGUAAAGCUGGGAAGAUGUUUGUUUGUAAGGGGUAAUCUGUGUCUAUCAAAGCAGAUAGUAUUGGUUUUGCCUAGUUUCCAAACAUGGUUUUAUAAGUCAGUAUAUCUUGUGAAACCAUUAGGACAAAAGUUUGGAACAAAAAGAAAUCUCAGGCUCAUUGCAAAGCUUUUUUAACGUUUUCAGUUCCCUCCAUGUUCUGAGCAUUAUCAUAACGUACUGAACUGUUCUGUUCAGAGACCACUAGGGAGAGGAGAUGAGGAACCAGAGCAGCCAGGAUGUUUCUCCCUGGGAUAAAAUCUCAAGCAUUCAGACACCCUCACUGUGGGCUCCACUUCUGUAGCUAGAGGGGACUGGAAACAGCAGGAGCAUCUCACAGCUUGUAGGAAGCACACAUCUUUUUCCCAAAUGUUUCUUUUUGCAGUUGGUCCUUGCUGGCUGAUCCAGCUUCCCCGUCAGCAUAUGGUGAGCAGUUCGGUGAGAGGACCACACUUCCAAUACUGGCAGGUACGGGUCCACAAGGACCCUUCUUCCAGGGAACCCUGGCUGCUAGAUAUCACAGGGCUGAGGGAAGCUGGCUUCUCAACUUCGCUGCUGCCCGUGUUUCUUCCCACCAUCCCCUCCACUCUAAUUGGCCCUGUUUUCCAGCCUCACAUCUGCCACUGUGCCCGUUCUCACAGGGAUCCCAGAAAGUCUUACAGCCCGGGAUUGGCUUCUAGCCCCAGCAGGAAGCAUGGAAUUCAUCCAUUAAGGAACUCUUUACUGAGUGCCUACUGUUAGGCACUGUGCUAGGCAAUAAUGAUAUGAAAGUGAGCAAAAGAAACAGUUCUCUCCUGUGGGGGCUUCUAAUUCAUUUGUGGCAGACAGUCAAGAAACAAGAAAACAAAAUCAUCGUAGGUGGGGAUGAGUGCAAAGAAGGGAAUAAGCAGGAUAUUAUUCAGAGAAAAUGUAAGUGAUGUCUACUUUUAAAUAGGCUAGGCAGGGGCAGAGAGUAGAACAGCAAAGCCUUAAAGCUGGACAGAUCUGGACUUGUCCCAGGACAGAAAGGAGGUCAGUGGAGCUGAAGCACAGGGAGCAAAUCACAGUGGACUUCGGAAAGGAUGGACGGGCAGGGUGUAGGGGAGCCAGGUGUGCAGGCCCCGAGACCACCCUAAGGAGUCUGGAUUUUAUCCUAGUGCAGAGGAAAUUUACAGAUGUGCUUGCAAGCAGGAGACGUGCUGAGCUCAUUUUAUGAGUUACAGGGGUAGCUCUGGCUGCCAGUGGAGAAUGGUUUAGAGGGACAUGUGCAGAAUGCAAGCAGAGAGAGCAGUCAGAGGCCCUAGACAUUGUCCAGGUGAGAGAUAAGGUGCUGAGACCCAGGUGAGUCAGCGAGGAUGAGAGAGAAUGUAUUUGCAGUCUAUUCUGGGGCAGUGCUGACAGGUCGUGCUAAUGGUUUGGAAAUGAAAGAUAAGGGAAAACCAGGGAUGCCUGAGAUUUCUGGUCUACAGUUGGGCGGGUGGUGAGGCCGUUAGGUGUUGGGGCCCACUGGUGGGGGAGCAGUUUGAGAGCAGAGUGUUGCUGGCAGAUGUGGAUGAUCUGUGUGGUGGCCCCGGGCCCCUCGCACCACAGCUGCUGGGACUCUUCACAGCUCUGGCCCUGCUGUGCCCUCUGCCUGAUCACCUGCUGCCCCGUCUCAGCUUUCCCAUCCCGCUGGCUCCUGGGACUCUUUCAAAGGCUUCAUAAGACCUAUAGUGAAGGCCUGGCCAUCAGGCCCCAUUUCUGCCCAGCACAGAGACUGCUAUGACCCAGUGAUGACAUUGUGCCCUAAGAACUUCCCCACAUUCUCUUCAACUCACAGACGACCUCAGAUGUAGCUGCUCUCUCAGGCCUUCAAUGUACGUCUCCACCCAAAUGAGUAAUAUUUGCAUUACAAGGAGGAAAGGAGAGAGGGAACCAUCGGGUACCUGCUGUACCAGGCACAUUAUAUGCUAUUGUCCCUGUUUUCCAGAUGAAGCCAGAUACUCCUCUAUGAAGUUAAAUGACUGGUUCAGUGUUAACACUGCUAGUGAGCGACAGAGAUGGAAUUUGAACGCACACCUGUCUGACUCCACCUCGUGUUCCUUCCACAUGGCCAGCAAGCUCUGCUGUCCCACCUCGCACUUCUGGGAGGUGGCUACUCCCUCUUUCCACCCCCUUUUCUGGAUCUUGACAAGGGAUUCUACCCUGCCCCAGCUGUCAAAGCCUGCAGCAGCUGCCAAAAAACCUCAACACAGGCAUACUUUGGACCUACAUCAUGUGUUGAUGUCACAGAUGCUGUACCAGGCAUUUGACUCCUUGAUCUAAAGCCAGGAUUCCUAGCCAACAUGGCGAAACCCUGUCUCUACUAAAAAUAACAAAAAUUAGCUGGGCAUGGUGAUAGGCACCUGUAAUCCCAGCUACUUGGGAGGCUGAGGCAGGAGAAUUACUUGAACCCAGGAAGCGAAGGCUGCAGUGAGCAGAGAUUGUGCCUCUGCACUACAGCCUGGGCUAUGGAGUAAGACUCUGUCUCAAAAAAAAAAAAAAAAAAAAAAUAGUGAGGGGGAUGCAUGCCCACACAAAGGAAUCCUGAUAGAGGAACAAUGGCUUGGUCCGUUUCCCCUCCUGUGUAGCACUGUGAUAAAGGAAAGCCUUUCAGGUAUGUGCCUCGAUGGAGCCAGUGGGUGGAAGAGGAAGGGCAAUGAGAGGUUUGAGGACAAGCUGCUGAUACCCUCAUGUGUCAUCACAGUGGUGCCCUUUGGGAGCCUGCUUUGGUAUACUCGUCCACUCAGGGAAGAGGAAGUCUCUUAUCCACAGUUUUGUCUUCAAAAUUGAAAUUUCUUUGGGCAGAGCCUAAAAGAGAGUUGCCUCAUUUCGUGUAACUGUAGCAUAUGUAGUGUAGAGGCUCCAAUGUGUUUUUGAGGCAAUCUGAGAGCUCUUUCUGGAAAUCCCUGGCAGAUGACAUCUGCGUCUGAUUUUACUUUGUCUUACAACCAGGCUAAGACCUCCAGCAUCAUCAGACUGUCGAACUGCUCAGGUCAAGGCAGACAGGUAGAAAGGCCCACAUAGAUAGUGGUUACUCAUCCCAAGAACACAGAGGCCCACACCAGGAAGGGGCAGGUGAUGUUAAUGAUGAGGCAGGCAAUUAUAUCUUGCGAUUUCUAUGAGCCAUGAUGCAUUACAGUAAGGAACUUUACCUCACUUGGCUUGUGACUUCUGUUAGUGAAAAGUGGCCUGCUGGCCUAUGCUGUGGAGGACUUGCAGAAAACUUCCCAGUCACCGGCAGACGGUUGACAUCUCCCCUGGUUCCUCCCCAACCCGUUUAGUGUGAAACGGGACAAAGGGAAACAUUUCCUUUGAUCUAUUUUUGGGGAAAGAGGCAAAUGUCAACUAAAUAAGAUCAUAUUAGGGACUGGGCAUGGUGGCUUAUGCCUGUAAUCCCAGCACUUUGGGAGGCCAAGGUGGGCGGAUCACCUGAGGUCAGGAGUUAGAGACCAGCCUAGCCAACAUGGCGAAACCCUGUCUCUACUAAAAAUACAAAAAAUAUUAGCCAGGUGUGGUAGCACGCGCCUGUAAUCCCAGCCACUCGGGAGGCUGAGGCACGAGAAUCACUUGAACCCAGGAGGCGGAGGUUGCAGUGAGGCGAGAUCACACCACUGCACUCCAGCAGCCUGGGUGAUAGAGACUUGACUCAAAAAAAAAAAAAUCCUAUUAGGAAUUUCAUGAAAGCUCACACAGUUCUUGCACACAUCAUUCAAGGCCUGUUAUGGGGGCCCAGAACAUCAGGACACAGUAGCUAGCCUCACAUUCAGCUCCAUUGCACUAGAGCUUUGCAUGAUCUCAAUUUGAAAAACACACAUGUAUAUCCUACAUUUGUAUCUCUAUUCUAAUAUUAUAUACUGUAUAUGACUUUUUAAAAUAUUGGUUUGCUGUUUCUAUUUUGUGCUAAUGCAACAAAUCUAAUUUGUUUUAGAAACAGUUAUUACUGUUUCUUGCUUCUUAUCACCCCCUACCGUUUGGACUCUGUUGUCCAUCUUUCUCUGCCUAAUUGGACCACAGCCUGGUGCCUCAAUCCCCACAAAAUCUGUUCCCUUCUAGCUCAAGAUGACUGCAUUCUCUCUCAGUUCGCAGUGUACUCAUGGGCUGCUCAUUCAUCUGCCCUUGUGCUCUGUGCCUUUUUGGCAUCUGCGGGUAAACUCAGUGCCACAUAUCUCUAUUCUGUUCACUCCUAAUGUUUGUAUUGUCUUCCCAAGGGACCUCUCUUAUGGCCCUGCUGGGCUCCUCCCCUUACCCACAUGUGCCAAGCAUAGAAAUCAAGGCAACAUUCUCAGUCCCUUUAAGGGAAGUUCCAGGUACCUAGCUAGUCCUACAGCCAGCAAUUAGGGAAGUUAACGAAUAACCUGCUAAACAAGAAGAUAAUAAUUUAAAAGCCACUCAAGUAAGUCAGAGUCACAAAAUGUUUGAUUCCCUGUAGAAACUAAAGAUAGCAUCUUGACCUAUUCCCUUGCAUUGCUUUUCAGAAAACAAUUCCCACACCAGAUGGAAAAUGCUGACCACUGUCAUAGAACUCAGACAGACUGAAACCAAAAAAUAGAUAUGGAAGUUCCAGAAAUUCCCUAGCUCUUAACUCAUUUUGGAUACCCCCUCACUCCUGCUUUAAAAACCCUUGCUUAUAAGCCAGCAGGGAGCUCAGGUGUUAAGUGCUAGGUACCCAUUCUUCUUGCUUGGCACCCAGCAAUAAACGCCUUUUUCUCACUACAAAUCUCAGCGUCAAUGUUUGGCUUUUUUGGCAUGCUGGGCAACCAGAACCAACCCCAUCUUUGUGUGCCUGCAUCCAAUUCUGAUGAGCCUAUGUAUGUCAGGUUGGUCAAGGCCCUUUGUGCUGAACACCAAAUCAACCUAAUUAAGGUUGAUGACAAGAAACUAGGGGAAUGAGUAGGCGACCUCUGUAAAAUUGACAGAGAGGGGAAACCCUGUAAAGUGGUUGGUUGCAGUUGUGUAGUAGUUAAGGACUAUGGCAAGGAGUCUCAGCCCAAGGAUGUCAUCAAAGAGUACUUCAAAUGCAAGAAAUGAACAAACCUUUGUCUCACAAAAAAAAAGCCCACAAACUUUUGAAUGAAAUCUACUUAUAUGAUGUGACACACAUUUCUUUCAGACAUGGAUUUUGAAAUCCUAUCAAUAAAAGCCACCAAGUGAGACACUCAGUUCUGGUUUUGAGCAUGUACCUGCUCCGUUUCCUGGUAUCUGCAAAUUAGGGUGGCCCAGUGCAGGCUCCUGACCGUUUGACCAUGACAGGCUGUCUGAACCCUGGGAGCUCAUCGUGCCCAUCGUCAGAGAUGUCCGUAUGUGACACAGCAGAGACUACCCCACAGAUAACAGACGAAAGCCAGCAGAGUACAAGGCCUAAAUGUGCAUGUCCUUCUGUUUCCUUUUUUUUUUUUUUAGGGGUUCUGACUGAGCAGGCAGAUUGGAAAGGAAGAAUCAGAUGAGGAGCAAGUGCUAGGUGUUGGGGAAACAAUUUAAAUUUCCUCCCACCCCAGAAAUUCCUCUCCAUAAAAUAUAGGAAAAAGAAAAUAUUUUAUUAUUGAAUAAACAUUAAACUAGUGAUGCACAUCUUUAGCAUUCUGCUAAGGAGAUUGCAAAGACAGACAUCCCACCCUUUUAUGUGGGCAAGCAAAUAGGACCCAUUCAUUACAUACAUGUUCUCGAACUAAAGUAAGAGGACUUGACAGCACCAUUUGUCAAGCAUAAUUCAUCCUAAAUUCACCUGGUGACCAUUUGUGUUCGCUAAUUGCCUUUAUCAAAAGGAAAAAUAAAACUCAAGUUUCUAGGACAGCAGGUAGUUUUACAACUUGGAGCCAGGUGCUUAAAUGAAACUACUACCCACUGCCCUCCCACUGACAGUGGGAGGUAGGGAGCUAUCUUCCUUGAUGUCUGUAUUUUCAAAGAGAUGGUUUCCAGGCCCUUGCAGGAAAAGAGUCCUAGGUUGUAAAAUCGACUGGAGCCUUACUUAGCUUUUAAAAAGAUUUAUAUACAUUUCAAAGGGGCAGCAAAAUAUAAGUUUUCUAAAGGAAAUGCUCUAAGAAAAAGGAGGAAGCUCUUCCCCUUUUUGCAUGGGCUUGUGGGGUAACUUACAUUCUGGAAUUCACGAGGAGCAGGAAUUGGUUUCCUCCCUCCACGUGCUGGAAGGCACAGUGUAAGAAGCUUGGCAAGGCUCCAGUCGGGUGGACAAUCACUGGGAAUUCCACGCAUCAAAGGGACAAGGGACAAUCACUGGGUCCAUCCUUUACUUCAGAGGGACAAGACCCAAUGAAUGUAGAACUGGGCCACAGUUUGUCUUGGUUCUUAAGCACGCUGGCCCACACAUGAUAGGUUAUCAUUAAAUGUCUGAUGAGUAAGUGAAUGAAUGUCAGGAACCUGAGAGGCUUUAGAGGUCAUUUACCUCAGCUGAAAUUCAGGCAUCCCUUUCCCUCAGCCCUCCUUAAAUACCAGCAGUCCUGGGGAUCCCACCACUUGCCACAGCAACCCAUUUUACUGUUGGAUAACUGUAAUUAUUAUAACAUUUUUAAUAUCUGAAUAAGGAGAGAAAACAAAAUUCGAGUGCUUUCAAGGGCAGGGUACUUUUUUCAAAACAAUCCCAAGAAGUAGGUAUCCCAUGUCACAGAGGAGGGAACUCAAAAACAGAGACAUUAACUAACAGCCCAAGGUCACACAGCUAAAGGGAAAUCAUAUGUAUCGAGUGUCUGUUCUGCACCAGGCACUCAUUUAAAUAAAGAUCCUUUCACUCACAAUAGUUUACCAUACAAAUAUUACAGCAUGUCUAGAUGGGGUCUUAACCAUACCAAAGUACUGUAUUGCAUGCCUCCAUCUGCCCUGGGACUAGGACCAGGUCACACACUGCAAAGGAUUUGAGUGGAAACGAUGAAUAGACCCCUGCACACCCAUGUGCAUCAAUGGAGGACUGUGGAUGCCGUGUGCCCCCAUUCCUCUGGGCCAUUGUCAUUAACCCUUUGUCUCCCAAGGAAUGGAGCUGCCAGAGAGUUCCAGCUGCCUCAGAUCCUCCCUGGUCUCUCAGGUAUGCUGAGUGUUUUCCCUUAAGCAGGGUUUCCAUAGGCUGAUGCCGAGGGGAGGCUAAGUAUGGGGCCAAAAUGCCCACAGCACACAGGUGUCACUCCAGGCAGCACUGAGGGGAAGCAGAACCAGGGGAUGGCUCUUGGGGCCUUCCUUCGCAGGAACACCACUCACUACAGGCUUCCAGGCGGUCAGCGGGUCAUGUGAGUCAAGGGCAAGUGGGUGAAUGACACUGAUAUGUUUCAGGUAGGGAGAAGCCAUGGUGGGCAGCAUUGGAGGGAGGGGAAAGAGGGGGUGAGGAGGGGGUAGAGAUAUGUAUUUGUCUACUUAUUCAUCUGAUGACUAUUUACCUACUAUGUGGCAGCUUUUCCAGAGUCCUUAGUCUGAGGAAAAAAACGCUGUGUGCUCGUGUUAUUCCCAUUUUACAAGUGAGCAGAUGCAGGGAGAGAAAGGCAAAAUAACUCACCCAGGACCACAUGGUUUGUGAGUGGCAGCGCUGGGAUUCUGGCCAGCAGUCAUAGUCCACACUCUUAACCACGGCCCUCUGCUGGGCAACUAGAAAUUGUGUGUGAUUUGUGCUCUACUUGGGGAGCCAGAGCCUGUUGGGGGGUCCUGGGAGGGCAUGGUUGGCUAUGGGACAGACCAUUCAACGAUGUUGUUUGAGGAGCCUUGUCAGGUCUUAAGCAUACCAAAGUACUGUAUUGCAUGCCUCCACCUGCCCUGGGACUAGGACAGGUCACACCCUGCAAAGGAUUCGAGUGGAAACGAUGAAUAGACCCCUGCACACCCAUGUGCAUCAGUGGAGGACUGUGGAUGCCACGUGCCCCCACUCCUCCCUCCCCAAAGCUGCUUUCCAGGCAUCUUCCAGGUGGGGAAAUGGCCAUUCCCCUCAGCCCAGAGCAGACUUAGCCUGCCCUUGAAUGCUGCCAAAAAAAAGAAAGGGCUAAAUGUGUCCCCUGUUCUAUUCCUAGUCCAGAUUCCUAAGAUGAGGACACAGCAUCCUGGGCCACUGUCACUAAUACAAAUUUGCCUCUGGAGGGACUCUACGGAAGAUAAUUCCCCUGAAAUUUGGAGAGUUGAAUUAAGCUAGGACUGAUUCUGGCUGGAAUUUGUGGUGGCUACGUACCCUAGAGGGCCUCAAGGAAACCCACGGUUCAAGACAGCCCUGACAGAUUCUGGAGUCUAGAACAGAAAUGGAUUUGAACAUGGGCAAGGCCAACCACCCAGUUCACGGCCUGUGUACAGCAAAGAUUACGUUACAGCCUGAGAGCUAAGCCUGGAAGCUCUUUCAUCCAUCCGUUUGUCCAUCUAUCCAUCCAUCUGCUCAUCCAUCCCUCCAUCUGCUCAACAAACGUUAGAGAAUCAAUCCUUGUGUCAGAUACUGGGGCUGCCCUCAAGGAGCUUUUAUAGAGUUCAGGGUACAGCCAGGUGGGGGAGACAGAUCACUAUAAAAACCUACCACUAUAAUCCAAAGGACAAGAGCAAAAAUAGUAAAGAGGAGAGAAGACCCAAAUUUGCCUGGUGGGUCAGAGAGGGCUUUCUAGAAGAGGUAAAAAAUCUUCGGGGCUAUCACUUCACCUUGCCUGGUGGAUAAAGGGAGGACUUUCCAGAUACAGUGGACAGAAUGUGCAGAGGCAGGAGCCAUGAGUGGCAGAGGCAGGGGAGGGACUGCAGAGACAGGUUGGAGCCAAAGCACGUGGCACUGGAGCCAUAGCCAAAGGAACAAACUGUGAGACCUGGGACUUGAAUUUGGAGGUGGUGAAAAGUGACAAGGUCUUCACAGAAGAGUGAUUUUUUCAACUUAGGGAAGGCUGACCCCAGACCAAUGCUGCCAAAGUGUGGUCUGUGGGCUGUUAGCAGUUCGUGACGAUGUAAGUACAGGAAUUGAGAUUAAGCAUUUAGAACACCUACAGCACUUUGAUAGUCAUUUUACUUUUUAAAUUUUGAGCUGGCAUUUUAUAUGCCUGGUUUUUUUUUGUUUUUGUUUUUUUAUUUUUUUUGAGACAGUCUCGCUCUGUCGCCCAGGCUGGAGUGCAGUGGCGCGAUCUCUGCUCACUGCAAGCUCCGCCUCCCGGGUUCACGCCAUUCUCCUGCCUCAUCCUCCCAAGUAGCUGGGACUGCAGGCGCCUGCCGCCUCGCCCAGCUAAUUUUUUGUAUUUUUAAUAGAGACGGGGUUUCACCAUGUUAGCCAGGAUGGUCUCAAUCUCCUGAUCUCGUGAUCUGCCCGCCUUGGCCUCCCAAAAUGCUGGGAUUACAGGUGUGAGCCACCACGCCCAGCCUUAUUCUCUUUUUCUAAUAGUUGCACUUUAUCAUAUUUUACAAAUGUGUGAGUCUGCUAUGGAUUAGAAAUUAAUAAGAGAUUUUGCCACAGAUAGUUUGAGAAGCCCAGCACUGCCACUCAACAAAUGCUGGUGCAUUCAGAUGGUGAAAUAUUCUGCAGCUAUUAAAGGAGUUAAAACUGCCUCCACUUACCUGGAGGCCCAUCUGUGACACCUUUUUAGGUUAAAAGGAAAAGAAAAACUUGCUUAGGACUGAAUAUGAGCGGUUGCAAUUUGUAACAAUGAUGUAUAUAUACAUAUACAUUUUCAUGUAUUUGUAUGAACAUAAAAGUAUUGAAGGAUAUUCAUCAAACUGCUAAAAGGGUUGCUUCAGAGUAACGGACUCGGAGAAGGCAGAUUAAUUUUCUCUUAAUGGAACUCUGUAUUGUAUCACUUGUAAAAAUAAGCAUGUGUUAUCUUUAUGAUAAAAAAGUAAAAACCUAAAAAAGAAAAUUUUGAUGUGUGUUAAAAUUUUGGAUUUCUAGGCUCCACCUUUUUUGAAUGAGUCUCUCCAAGAGUGGGGCCCUCACAUGUAUAAUGAGAAAAAGCUCCCCGAUUACAGGAUGUUACCAAGCCCCGCUAGGUGUAGGAACCCUGCUUGGUACCCACCCGAGCCUCAGCAGCUCCUCCCCAUCAUGGGCAUGAUGAGGUCUCCCUGUGAGGUGUUGUGAAGACGACGGGACAGGCUGCAGUAGGCACUGAAUAAAUGAGUCCCUUCCCCUGAUGACCCUAAGGCUAUGGGAUCAUCAUCACUCCCUCCCCAAAGCCACACCUGAUUAUUCCAGCCAGCACUCGGCCUGCCCCUUUUCUGAAUGCUUUUUGAUUUUAACUUACAUUUUUCGCAUUUAAAUGUUUCAUUUAAUUUGAGAAAGAGUCUCGCUCUGUCACCCAGGCUGGAGUGCAGUGGUGCGAUCUCAGCUCACUGCAGUCUCCACCUCCUGGGUUCAAGCAAUUCUCCUGCCUCAGCCUCCCAAGUAGCUGGGAUUACAGGCGCCCACCACCACAUGUGGCUAAUUUUGUACUUUUAGUAGAGAUGGGAUUUUGCCAUGUUGGCCGGGCUGGUCUCGAACUCCUGACCUCAAGUGAUCCACCUGCCUCAGCCUCCCAAAGUGCUGGGAUUAGAGGUGUGAACCACCACAGCUGCCUUCUUUUAAUUUGUAUUUUCUAUCUCUGCGGACAAGACUUCAAAGGUGUCUAUCACAUACUUUCAGAUCUACUGAUCAUCCUCUGAAAACCAACAUCGGGGUUCACAAAAUGGAUUUAACCAAUUGGGCUCCCCAGUUCUUCUUCCAGACUCCACCCCUCCAACAGUGUCUCCAAUGACUUCCUGGCAUCACUGAACAGGUCCUUCACUUUGCCACCUCUGAGCCUUUGCUUGAGUGUUUUCUUUCCCCUGGAAUAUCCUUUCCAACCCUAUACACCGACUGAGUCAAACCUUCUGUCUUCUUUUUGAGCAUUUAUGAGCUCCUAUCAUGAGCCAUGCAUUAUGUAAGGGACCUUACAAACACAAUCAGUCUAUGUAACAAUCCUGCCAAGUAUGCUUUAUUUUGGGCAUGGGGAAACAGAGGCUCAAGAGAAGUGACCUGCCCCAGGUUUCAGUGCCAGCACACUAGUAGAGCUGGGAUUUGAACCCAGGUUUGUCUUUUGCACUGGAUUCAGCUUCCUUGCAGACCGCAGCACCUCACAUACAGCCCUUCACUGACCAGCAAUUGGAGGGAAACCACCCCUGUGGCUUAAAACCUGUGGUGCCACAGAUCAUUCCACUCAGUCAAACCCCCAAGACCGUAGAAGUGCAUUUAACACAGCAGCUCCUAGGCACAGGAUUGUCACCUCAGGGCAUAUGACUUCUAAAGUUGCAGAUUAUAAACUUGUUCUCUUUCCCUGUCCUCAGGCUCCCGCUGAAGUAACCCAGACGCCAGGGAUAUCUCUGCCCGCUCCACUCUGACUCUAGUGCUCAAUGUGCCUGCCAGGCCUUGCUAGGGAUGCUGUGCCAGUGUGAAGAGGAAGGUGGUCUCCAGCUCUCACCCCAUAGAAGCUUUCUGCCUCAGUUUCCCUAACCUGGAACACCACAAUGACUCCUGAAUUGAAAAACACUGCUUACAGCAUCUAGGCUAAAAUUGGCAGAAUACCUGGGCUCCAAGCCAGGGAGAUUUGGAGCGAUGGGGAGGUGCAAGAGCACAGCCAGACAGAGCCAAAAGCAAUAAUAUCCUGUUUGUUCCUACACUGCCCUCCGCAUUAAAAAAACAACGACAGCUACAUCAAGCCCUUUUGUUAAGUGGCCACAAGCUGUACAUUUCUUGGUCCCAGGCAGGUAUACUGGGAGUUCAGAUCCUGGUCUUAAUGCUCUUCUCUGGUUCUGUGACAUCCUAGAAUGUGAAGAGGAGGCCUUGGGUUCUGUCACUGCCUCCAGCCCGAGCCCCCUGCUCUUCCUGGGCAUCCCGGAUGGACCAUGUCUGCCUUUCUGCUGACUCAGAUUUAUUUCUGGUCCAGCCAUUCACAGCGUCCAUGUGUCUGAACUCCUCAGCCAGAGGGCAGGUGGAAGGGCAGGAGGAGGACCACGUGUCAGCUUUCCAUCCAGAGAGCCACCCCAAAACAGAGGAUGUCCUUGGGCUUGGACCAGCUCCACAGAACACUCUGAACAAAUUCUCACGAUGCCAGGCUCCUAGGCCGCAGAAAAUGCCUGUCUCCUCCCAGUUCUAAGAUAGCAAAGGGUGUGCGUUACCUCAAAACCACUUAGUACGCAGCCAACCUUAAUGGGCACUCUUGGCAUUACUGUUCUACUCAGCAAAUAGACAGUCCUAGGCAGGAAGGAGAUAUUUAGAAUCCUACUCUGUAAAACAGAGGCCUUUCCUAGGCCUCCUGUGAUGAAGGCAUGGGACCGUUACCAGACUUUGUCCCUCAAGGGUAAAUUGUUUUCAAGAAAACAGGAAGCUAGGAGCCAUCUAGUCCUUUGAAGUGCUGUGAAGUGGGCUGCCUUCUUCCCCGCCCAAGGGAGGGAGUCUCUGAGGCUUCCUGGCAAGGGUUAGUGUGACCUCCAGCAGUCACCUUCAGCAUGGGUUGCUGCUGGAUUCCUGGCUCUGUGGGCAGGAGCUCCCAGAAUGCUUGACACAGACUCUACGUGGCUUCCUUUGGGAAGACAAAUGGAGCCUGCUGUAGGCUAUGGCAGAGAUGGAGGCCCAGGGCCUCUGAGCUAGGGGCAAAGUCAGUCUCCCUCCUGUGUCUGAAACCCCAGGACUCCCCAUUCUGUAUGGUACUCCCCCCGACCCAACCCACAGUUUCCUUAGGAAAACUGACCUGCCUAUGGCCCAUUUCCUAAUGAUAUGAUUUGGUCAUGAGGCUGGCAGAGUCCAUGGGGUGCAUGUGGCACUCCUGUGCUUUGCUGUGACAGUGCCUUAACCCACAGGCGUGAUUAACUCCAAAGUCUGGGGUCUUUGGAAAAGGUGCCUAUCAAUGCAGAGGAAGUGAAGUGCUCAGACCGCCAAACAAGGCCAAGAGCCUCCCGGAAGAGCCUGCCUGUCAGGAAGUCUCUGGCCACAUGCUGUGGCCAUGCUCGCCUCUAUGAGAGGACAGAGAGAACAGACCAAGGACACGAGUUCAGAACAGAGAAAAUGUGAGAGCCGUAGACAGGAAAAGCAGCCCUUCUGGAAACAGCACACUGGUGUACCUAGCGUAACCUUGUCCUGAGGGCCACUAACUGCCCCUCACUUGACUCAGCUGACACUGUGAGGGGUCACGAGCCUGGCAACACUUUCUGGAAGGUCUAAAGGGCAGCACUGAGGAGACCUAAAGGUUUUGGUCUGUUUGUCAAAUGUCACUCUUCCUCACAUUCGGAGGAGAGCAUUUGAAGGCAGACCACUCUAGGGGCAAGAACAGGACUGAUUUUAACCCCGGGACAACCAACCAAGCAAGCAAGCUAGUGAAGAACAGGCCUCUGCCCAGGUGAAACACGUGGGGCCAAUUCCAUAGGUUUUUUUUUUUUUUUUUUUUUUUUUAAUUAACCUCCGGUGGGAAAGGUAAGGAUGGUGGGGAGGGGAGACGGUUACUUGUCUCAUUAUCAAUGUGUUAGUAUUAGUGACGGCAAAACUGAAUCUCUAGCAAUACUAUUUGCCCGUUUAAACUGGGCCUGGCUAUUGGGCUUAUGAGCAAAUAGCUUCUCAAAAUUUUAAUUUUCUAGUUAGUUCAUCCCAAGUCACUGAUUUACAUGUCUUUUGAGACUGAGACUGCUGGGGAAAAACAUUCCCAGAAAUGAGUGGAUUAGACUCUGUGAAUUACAAGGGAAAGACACUUUAAGUUUAAAGUUGUCCCAAACUUAGCGUCAAAAUACAGCCUUUAGAUUUUUUUUUCCAUCGAGAAAAAUUCCUGAUUCACUACCAAAAAGAGGCCCUGCAGGCAGCGUGCUGAUUUGUUCUGCUCCUGGUGCUGAGCUGCCCCCACCUGUGUGCAGGGAGGAGGGGUCGCUUCGGCCAAGGGCGGGAGCUCUGCUGGCUUUAGCGAGUCACCAUUGCCUCCUCGCAGUCAGCGUCCUAACGGGGUCCCCGUCUACAGCCCGGCAUCCACUCCUCCAAGGCCCUUCACACUGGCUCUAGCCAUGACCCCUCUUUGGAGGAAUAAAGCAGAGUUUCACGGACUCACCGACCUUGAAGCCGGAGCCUCCCACGUCCUGCUGAGCGCACACAGCCAAGAAGUGUAUGCAGGGCGAGCUGGUCGGGCCGGCCUGGAAAUCCUCCCUGGCGGGGCGGGGCCAGAGGACCUCACCAAUCCCAGCGUAGACCUCCGGGCGCACCGGCCCCCACAGCUGUACCCUUGAAGGCAGGCCCGUGGGCGCUGGGCCCUUUAUAGCACCUGCCCUUUCUCUGAAACGUAAAAGGCGGAGCCAGUCUUGCUUCCCAGGCCUGGUCCUGGAGGCUCCUUUGCCAGGGCUCUGGAUCUCAGAAUGGAAGGGCCAGCAGGUGAAAUUGCACAUCUGUUGGGGGAUUUGUUUCUCUCUUCUCUCAGGUGUACCAGCCUUGGGGCCCUGGUGAGCUCUGGAGGAUGAACCCCUCAAGCCAAGGUCGGAGAGGAGGAUGUCUCAAGCUGCCUGGCUCCAGCAGCUGACCGGGCCCUGAGCCAGGGGCUGGAGGGACCUCCUUCCAGCGUCUUUGUCUGGGACCUGGAUCCAGGGACAAUUACAGUCAGGUUUCUGUUCAAGAUCAGGCCCCCUGCAGUAGAUGGCUAGAUCAUCUCGCUUUCUGUCCACACCAGCUUAACCCACGGCAGGCCAUAGCCCUGCUUAAAAAUAGCCCCGCUUGGGAUAUCCACCGCACGCCGGGAAGGCUGCCUGUAAAUAGCAAUGACCCAGCAGGAUUUUGGACAGCAGCCCUGCCAUUUCAAGGGAGCCUGCCUAGGCAUCUGGUGACCGUCACGUACUCAGCUUCUGAGGCCACGUGGACAUGACCAAUUGGUUCCUGUCUCUUCCUUCUCAGAGCCCAGCUCAUGCUCAGAGGACUUGAUGGAGCAAGGGGUGGAGCCCCAGGAAUAACCUUCUACCCAGUGUGGUUCUCCUUCAUUCUCUGAAGGAGUUUCCAUUUCUUUUAAACACGACCCAUGUUUAAAAAUAUCAUCUAUUUUACCUUUGCAUGGGGUACUGACAGGGAGAGCACGUGAGGGGGCCUUUUGGCGGGAUGGGAAGUUUCCUGAUUGGGGUGGUUAUAUAAAGAUUGGGACCAAUCAAAUUAAUUUCAUAAUCCUUUAAGGAGUCAAGACCCACCAGCUUGCAUAUUCUAUCAUCAGGGCAGUCUCGGUUUAUUCCUUCUCAAAAUAGCUCUUUUCCACACACACUUGUUUCAAGUCAGUUCAGGCACCAACUGAAAUAAAUCCAUUGACCCUGAAAUAGCCCAGCUCCCAGAUCCAGAAAAUUAUAAGGCUUUUAAAGAGCAUGGAAUUGUAGAUUUAAAGAAUGGCAGUUAUAGCAAAAACCUCCUUUUCCUCCCCAAUUGCCUAAUCAACAUUUAGGGCCCCCUCCACUCACCCGACCUCAACACCUUAUAUUUUAUAGAGUAAAUGUUUAUGUUAGUAAGGUCAGAAGAAAAAUUGGGUCAUUGUUGAGAAAAGAGGGUACCACCCUUCUUUUGGGGGACUGGUCCUCUUCAAGCUUAUUAUAAAGGUGGUGUGAUGGGGAUGAAAUCUCUACAAGGGACUCACAGUAGAAAUUCUGGCUUUCUGGAAAUCUUUCAAAUGCCAUCCCUGUCACAUGGCAUCUAUUCCCUUCUCAUCGUUACCAACUCCUUUUGAAGCUCUGGGGCUCUAGCCACACCAGGCUGCCCUGUGGCUGGCUUCUGCCAUAAGGGCAGGAACAGAAUUGAAGUGUGCGACUGCCAUAUCAUUUGCUUUAAAGGAAAAUGUCCUGGACUUAUUCUCUUUUCUGUUCCUGAGUCCAGCAGGAGUGUGGCUAGAGCAGGCCCCAGAUUUGACCUCGAAGGCAAGGAUGACGCCUUGUGGGAUGAGCAAGUAAUAGGAUGAAAGGAACCUGGGUUCCUCUGUCGCACCAGCCUGGAUUGCUCAUUUCAGAAUUGGGCAGGAGGGACCCCUUUCCUUAGUCUAUUCUUGUGUCCAGCAACUGUAACUUAAUUCCAUCAGCUCUAAAUGUUGCCACAACUUCAUAGAAGUUAAAGUAUUUUCAUAUAUAGUAAUCCAUAUAACCACUGCAGUUAUUUUAGGGGUAGACAGGAGUCUUAUUUCAGAAGCCCCUCCUAGGUGGAGCCUGGUGACUAUUAGGCCAGGACUCUACCCUGGCGGCUUCUCCUCUCUCCACCACCCAUUCAGGAGCGUUGAGCUGCUGUGCAAUGGACUGAGCUGUUCCAGGUAGUAGUGAGUUCUCUGUGCCUGGAGGUAUCAAAUAUAGGCUGGGGAUGUCACAGGAAGAAUCUAAGCACUGCAAAGAAAGUGUGAUUAGUUGAUCCUUCGUAUCAUUUCAAAGCUUUCCCCAAAUUCUUUGAAUUUUAGGGCCUCUUCUAAACUGUUUUUCUCCCUGAACUUUAGAAGUAAUAUUUAGAAGUAAAUAAUAUAUCUGAAGGAGUUCACUGCUAUGAAGAAGAUGUAAAAUAAAAAUAAAGCCCCUAGGCCCCCAAGCAAAACAAAACAGACUCAUUGUGGUAAAAAGAGACCCCAGGAAACAUUAAAAACCAGAUUCUACAGCUUUGGCAAGGCAAGAGGUCAGUCACACCCAACGCUCUCCCACCUCGAUAACUGCCUCAAGACUUUCUUUCCUAAAAUUAAACUAAAACCAGUUACUGAAAAACUAUGUCUGGAAGAUUUCUUCCUCAACUUCAACAGACAACCUGACGUGGCGAACCCCCCCUUCCCUCAACGCAGUUUCCCCCUGACAAGUGUUCAGCCUUACAAAGCACUCCAUCCUCAUAACUGACCACAGACCACAGCCGGUUCUGGCCGGUUUACAGAGAUUGCACACCAAGCGUCUUUGUGCCCUGUGUUCCAUCUUUUGACAUAUAGAGCCCAAUUUUACUACAUUUUAAGUCUCCAUCCCAAAGUGAACAUGGGUUGUAUGUAACAUGUAACAUAUAUGAUUACUGGCUAUGCAUGCAUUAGGGCCUCUCAUAAAUAUUCAUAAGAUUAUCCUAUAACCUACUAAAUGUAUAUGUAAGGCUCAUCUUGUUGGGCAUAAAUCUCAGCCUCUCCCUUUUUUAUCUGAAGUGCUUGCUUUUGGCUUUGGCCAGAGGCUCCAGCCUGCAGAUUGUAACCCUUUAUAAGAAAUUAAGUUCUAUUUUUUCUAAAUGUAUACAUUUCAUGGUUUUAAGUUGACAAUGUAGAAAAAUGGGGGGAAAAAGAGUUAAAUGAAGAAACCAGUGAGAUUUCUGAAUAUUCAAGAAAGGUGAAGUUUAAUUUGCAUAUAGGCAUAACCUACACCUCACUUGGCAAGUGUUAGGCCACAGCACAAACCCCUCUGUCCAAUCACAAAUGUCCACAAAUUUGCAAAGUAACUGGACACGAACGAUAUGCUUCUCAAACUCACACACAUAUUCGUCCAUCACACACACACUCAAAUGAUAAAGAAAUACAUUGAAAUCCUCUACAAAAGAGAUCUGAGGACAGUAAUCAGAUGACCUCAUGUGCGGACAGCACUUUGCAGUUUACAGUCUAAUCCAUUUGGUCCUCACAAUAGCCCUGUGAGAUAAGCAGCACAGGGAUUACUAUUCACACCGUUUUGCAGAUGAGGAAACUGAGGCUCAGGGAUGUGUAAACACCAGCCUAAGGUUUUCCAGUUGGAGACUGGGCCUAGGACUCAGGGCCGGGAUGCCUAGGCCAGCUCUCUUUCAUAACUGGCUUUCUAGUGAAAAAUGAAAUGAGCUGUGUAAAAACCAACAUCAUUAAGUAUAAUAGAACUAUUAUUUUCCUUGAGCAGAUCAGACUAGUGCUAUCAAUCCUAAUGUUAAUGUCAUGCUGCAUGGCAGCUGAGAUGAAUAAUUUUCUGAAUCGUUCAUGUGUUUAUACCUACAACAAAAUGACUGUUUUCCAUUUUGGCUCUGCCUCAUCUUAAUUUUAAGUCACCAAUGGCCGCUGAGAAAUGACACACUGAUUAGAUUUCAUUGACUUAAGUCUUCUAUUACACGGUGGUAUCUAUAAUGGAGCCAUUAAACUUACAAUCUGAUUUCUUACUGAAAUGAAAAAGAGUUUUAUUUAUUGAUUCCCUCUGUGCACAUUAGCCUGGCUAUACCCUUCAGCCAUAAAUAGUAUGUUCUCUUUUAUGCCUUUUCGAUAGUUGUAAAAAUAAUACAUUUUGCAAUUGGAUUUUUAAAAACCUUUAUACUUUAAAGUGAAGAGAUUUUUUUUCAAGGGGAUAAAAUCAAACUUUGAAAAAAAAAAGCUAAGUAAAAUCUCUUGCUUUUAAAUAAAAGUUAAUUUUAUUGGGAAUAAUCCCUGUAUUGCAUUACUCUUUUCAGUUAAGAAUUUAAAAGCUGCCCAAUCGCUGCUGGCCCAAAAGUCUCGUCUUAUACAAUAACAUGAGAGAAAGGGUGCUGAUCCAUCAUUAUUCACUCCACAUGGGACCAUAAUGGAUUUUUCUCUUCCAGGUGAUUCAGUUUCUCUGAGUUUCAUUUGUUUAUAAGUAGUACUUUAAGACGUACUGAAAUUUAACAAACAGUAAUGGGACUUGGUAUGAGAGCCACUUGAAAAUAUUGCAAUGGCCGUUUAAAAUUCCGUCUUUAAAUUCCUUCAGAAAAGCACUAAGGAAAAGUGACGACGUUUUACUUCAUGCCUGAAUCUGUCAAAUAAUAUAUUGGAUUAGGUAAGAGAUUUGUCCCUGUAGCAAAACUAGAUGUCUCAGUUAAUAACGAAAAGGCAUCCCCUAAAAGCUCCAAGAUAAUUUCGUUGACAGUACAAAAUGUGGGCAUUCAUUCGAAAGCAUGAAAUUGGAUUUUUCUUCUGAUUUUCUAGGUUAAUUUUACAGUAUACAUGUUCGCUACUUGGCUGUUAGAGGUUGACCUCCCAUCUCCUCUUAGAAAUGGGUCUCCAUAAUGGACUAGAGGCAGAUGCAGCUGGGAAUGCAUGCUUUGUGUGUAGGCAGAAGAGGAUGGGUACUUUAACGACCAGAAAAAACACUGCAAAUUGCUCUUGGGGAUUUUUAAUUUGACCAAAUUGAAGGGAUUUUAAAAUGUGCAUUCCUCUCCCAGCUGGCACACGAAUAGUGCAGGUCAUCAACAGACACUCCCUCAGAGGUGGAGCUCUCUCUCUUGCCCUCUUGCAGCUCCAGGAAGGCUGCAGACUCCAGAAAGUGGUGUAAUUCUCAAACAAAAAUGCGAAAGGCUAGUGAGUGGCACACCCCUGCAGUCCCAGCUGCUUGAGAGGCUGAGGCAGGAAGAUUGCUUGAGUCCAGGAGUUCGAGACCAGCCUGGGCAACAUGGUGAGACCCUGUUUUUCAAACAAACAAAAACCCCCUAAAAGUCAGCAUAGCAAUUGACAGUGCCUAAUAUGACCAGUGCGGGGCAGUUCCAACAUCCUGCAGGAAAUAGGCGCAAAAGCUUUGUCACUAGUUGAAGAAAAGCUGCGAUCCAAAAGGGAAGGAGCAUUUGGAAACUCCUGUCUUAUUUUUUGUUAAUAAGAAUGGCUGCAGUGUCUCUGGAACAUUUGGGUCAAAGAAAUGAGUCCGAACUUCCAGAAAAAGUGCACACAGAACCAUCCCUUUCCCUCUGAAGGACUCUGGCAACUCCAAGGCAGAGUAGAAUGCAUGCACCUUUCCACGUGUUGUUUGGCCCGAAACUAGUAUGUGUGUGGUCCUCUCACAGAUUUGUCCCGGUUUUAGUUCACCCUUCAGGACUAUGCUUUUGAGCCAUGAAAGCUAACCUUUACUUUUCUUCUGCAAGACCUUGAGGUGUUUGGUGCAACUGAUACAUAUUAUUUCAAACCCUCAGUUUCUGGAGCACUGAGAAAUAAAUCACAAGUUAUGCGUUGUUAGGAUCCAAACAGCCCAUGCUUCUCAUCAUGCAUCAAGAUGCGUCAACCUCUUAUUUGAAACUAAAGAGAACAAACAAGCAACUUUAAAAAAGAAAAAGAAAGCAUCCAUAAGGAACCCUCCUUGGGUUGAGUGCUACACUGUUGGCUAAUAUGAACUAUUGAAAAUAUUUUGGGAAUGGUCUUCAAAUAUUAUAUUUUCUUUUACUUAGUUGAUAUUUCACUAUAUAGUUACAUACAGAGAUGGCACUUACCGUGCAGAAAGUGUACAUUCUCUACCUCUAUGGUGCAUUACCAAUGCUAGCUCUUUCACUGAGUCUUAAGAGCCAGCAGGUGGAAUUUAUUAGUCUGUUAGCUCUAGCAACAUAAUUAAAGUGCAAGGAAAGAGGGAAAGCAGCCAGACAGAUCCAUUUUUCAUUGUCAGCAUCAAUAAGUUUCAUGCUGCUAAGAGAAAAUGUCAGGUGCAACAGGUUCAGGGAAAUAGAACUAUAUUUUUUCUCUUCCUUCUUUUAAAGCAGCAGUCUCCCUGAGAAGAGAAGAGGGAGGUAAACAAUGAGAUAGCCCUAUUUCUUCAACAACUGACAAUCUUGGGAAAAGGAAGGUCACUUCCCCAGCCUCAGGUAGCAGGACUAACCCUUGCAUUUGGUUUUGUAAUGUAAGAGCUGUUCGGUGGUUGGGCCCAUUUCCCAUGCACUUAUAAUAUUCUCAGAGAUCUCUCAACAUCAGUUUUUAAAGAAAGAGAUCUACGAACAGCAUAUGGAAGUGUGGGUUUUGAAAAGAAAAUUUCACUAAACUGUUUAAAAAAAAUACAGCCAAUGUUCAUAGUAAGCCUAAAAAAAGGUCUGUGUAAAUGAGAAUAGAUUCCUGCAGUACUAUGAGUGGGGAAAGAAAACAAACAAAGCAAGGUGCAGAGAUGAUUUUUAGGUAUAGAUUUUCACUCAGCACUGAAACCCAUGAUUCCCCACAGCACUUGGUGGCCUUCUGUUCCACAGUUUUGUCGGUGAGAUGGGCGUGCACCUUUUUGCAGCUGCCUCUCCAAAAGGGCUGGCUUCUUAGGACCAACAGUCUCAAGGAAAAGCUCCCCACCCACCUCAGCCAGCCACUGUCUGGAAUCCUCUGGGGCACAGCCUACUGCAUUUAAUUAAGGAAAUGUUACAUACAAAUCCAUUUGUGUUUCAUUCUUUCUUUCCUAUCCCAUUGCCUAAAGACUGGAAAGGCAGUUUCAGAAGGUACCAUUCCUCACAUAGAAAUAUUUAGAAUGCACUGACAACCAUGCACAUGCUGUAGACUGAAAUUGCUUAUGUUUUGGUCCAUCUCUGUAGAGGAAGUGUCAGCUUUUCUGUGAAGCUUAUACCAAAAGGAAAUGUAAUGGAACCAGUCAAAUCCUAGAAGAUUGGUAGGUGUGCCCAGGCCAGUAAAGCGCCAGAGAAACAUCACAGGUCUUUUUCAUGGAUCCUUGUCCCUGAGUUCUAACAGAACAUGGACAGAGUUUAAAAUUUACCGAUUUACCUGCUUUGUUAAAAUGGCAACUAGCAUCUCCCAUCUGACAUUCCCUUAUGUAAAACGUGCCACCAGCUUUCUAAAUAGCCAUCUUUCACCUUCCCACCCAAGUCUGAAGCAUCUGUCUUUGACCCAAACAGCUGGGUUUCUCUCUGGAGACAGAAUUCCAGUCUGGUUCCAUCUUCUUUGGUGGAGAAAGGAGCCUGGCUUCGUGCUGUACCGUGAUAGGCAAGGCAUACACAAUUCUGUCUGUCCUGCUUUCCAUGAACAUCCCGUGGACUCAGGGGCAAGGCCAGAUCUUCAAGCAGGGAGUCGAGGUUCAAUUUUUAGUGACAGCUCAUAUAGCGUAUCUUCAUCUAUGAUAAGGUCUUUGUCAAGCAAGUACUGUGCGACCUGAAAAAAAAGGGGAAGUCCCAGCUUUUACCUCUUUCAGACACCAGUGCGUACAUUUUCUGACGGAAUCUAACACAAUUCAACAUUUUCUCUUAAACAACUAAAAAUCUUAUUUGACCAAAAAAUCAUAAAUAUGUUUCCAUUGUUAAAAAAAAAAAAAAAAAGGUGAACAUCUCUAGUCCUCUCUCAACCCCCAAUCCCAGGUACCUCCCUCAAGAGGAACUACUGUUACUAAUUGGUUUGUUUUCUCCCAGUUGUUUUUCUAUGUCUUUAUAGAGAUUACAUGUACUUACAGAAAUCAUUUUUCCCCCUAAAAUUGGCACCAUGGUGCACAUUUUAUUCUGCUUUCAUCUCUUAAUGAUAGGUUGGAGAGAGCUCCCUGUGACAGUAGAUAGAGCUCUAACUGCUAUACAGUAUUAAUAGUGCAAUAUAUUGGAGCUUAUUUAAUAAUCUCAUAUUGAUAGAUGUUGAGUUGCUGUCAAUACUUCACUGUUACACAAAGUUUCAGUGAAUUCCUUGUUAGCAUGCUUCCUGGAGUGCAUGCGUGAAUACUCUGCUAGGCUAGGGUAGAUAUCAGAAGUGAAAGGAAAGGAAUUGACACUAGAAAUGAAUAUGUUGGGGCAUGGGGGAUUUUCAUGAAAAUAUUUCUUUAGUUUUAUUGAAAUAUAACACACAAAAGUGAAAUAGAUAGUUUGAUCUGUUUUGACAUGUAUACACCAUGUAACUUACAUACAUUUCAUGAUAACAAUUUCAGCAUCCCCAAAAGUUCCUUCAUGCACCUACUCGGUCAAUCUGCUCUUGGAAUCAAGCACUGCCCUGGUUUCUAUCACCACAUAUUAGUUCUGUCUAUUUUGGAACCUCAUAUCGAUGGGAUCAUACAGUGUGUACUCCUUCAUGUGUGGUUUCUUUCACUCAGCAUAGUGUUUUGAGAUUCAGCCUUGCUGUGGCCUGUACCAGUAGUCUGCUCCCUCUCAUGGCUGAGUAGUAGUCCAUUGUAGAGAUAUACCAUAAUUUGUUUAUCCAUUCAUCUGUUGAUGGACACUUGAGCUCUUCCCAAAUAGGGGCUAUUAUUUAGAAAUGUUAUGAACAUUUUAUACAAGGCUUUUAAUGAGCAUGCUUUCAUUUUCCCUUUGGAUAAACACCUAAGAGAGAAAUUGCUAGGUCCUAAGAUAAGUGCUCAUUUAACAUUUUAAGAAACUUCUAAAUGGCACAGUUUUGCAAAGUGAUUGUUCGAUUUUAUUCUCACCAACAAUGGUAAGAGUUCCAGUAAUUCAAUAUACCAAUUUUUAAUUUUAAAUGAUGAUGGAAAAUGACCUGCAAAGCUUCCGCACCUACAGUACAUGACAGUACCUGUUUUCCUAUACCCUAAGCAAUGUUUGAUAUUAUCAAUCUUUUAAAUUUUUGUCAAUCCGAUAAGUGAAAACGAUGUCCCACUCUAAUUUACAUUUUCUCUUUUUACUAGUGAAGUUGAGCAUUUAAAAAAUAUUUAUUGGUCAUUUUUUUUCUUCUAUGAAUUAACUAUUCACAGGUUUACCAGUUGAAUUGUUUAUGCUUUUCUUAUAGAUUAUGGAAACACUUUUAUUCUGUUUCUUUGUUGUAUAUGUUGCAAAUGUUGUCUCAUUGUCUACUGCUUAUAUUUUGAUUUUUAAAUAAUGGUCCUCUGUCAUAUAGAAGUCCUUAAUUUUCAUUAACUUUAUCAAGCUUGGCUUUCACAGCUUUUGCAUUCUGUGCUUAAGAAGGUCUUUCAAAUCCAAAGGUCAUGAAUAUUUUAUCCUUUAUUUUAUUCAAAUAAUAUAAAUACUUUUUAAACUUAGGUAAUGAACUCAUCUGGAAUUUAUUUUUGUGAAUGGUAAGAUGGAGAGCCAAAAUUCCUGUUCUAUUUAUUGAAUGGUCAGUUUCUUUCUGGCACUUUCUUUGAGUGCCUUCUUUAUCUCGUAUUAGAUUUUCAGGUAGACUAAACACACACAUGGACUUUCUUCUGCCCUACUGGAUUUGCACUGCUGUGCCAGUAGAGUCCUGAAUUUUUUUUUUUUUUCUGAGACGGAGUCUCGCUCUGUCGCCCAGGCUGGAGUGCAGUGGCGCAAUCUUGGCUCACUGCAAGCUCCGCCUCCCGGGUUCACGCCAUCCUCCUGUCUCAGCCUCCCAAGUAGCUGGGUCUAUAGGCGCCAGCCACCACGCCCGGCUAAUUUUUUGUAUUUUUAGUAGAGACAGGGUUUCACCGUGUUCGCCAGGAUGGUCUUGAUCUCCUGACCUUGUGAUCCGCCCGCCUCGGCCUCCCAAAGUGCUGGGAUUACAGGCGUGAGCCACCGCGCCCGGCUGAGUCCUGCCUUAUUUACUCUCACUUUAGGAUGUGGCCAUAACUGGUAGGGAACACUCUCCUUUACUAUUCUUAUUUACCAAAAAGUUCUUGUCUGUUUUUUGCCUAUCUAUGCCUCCCUAAGAGUUUCAAGAUAAGUUUGUCAAGUUCCAUGAAAAACCUGUUGGGAUUUUGACCAGGAUUUCAAUGAAUUUAUAGAUUAAUUUGAGGACAAUGGACCUCUUUACAAUAGUAAGUGUUUUGAUCCAUGAAUAUGAUACAACUUUCUCCUUACGUACUUCAGUACAUAAAGGUCUUACAUAUUUCCUGUUCCACUUAAUCCUAGUCAUUACAGAUUUUGUUGCUAUUUUGAUUGAGGUUUUUUAUAUUACAUUUGAAUUGCUUAUUGCCAAUGUGUUGAAAAUUGGCUUUUGCAUGUCAAGUUGCUAUACUCCUUUAGUAAUUUAUCAG